GGGGUUGUGGCUCAGCGGUAGAGUGCUCGCCUAGCAUGUGUGAGGCCCUGGGUUCGAUCCUCAGCACCACA
rnacentral:tRNA from 1 species